rnacentral:lncRNA from 1 species
AAUUGGAGAUGAAAUGCUUGUGGAGAUGUAGUAUCAAUUUUUUAGAUUGCACGGGUCUUGAAUUUGUCAAAAUGAAGCAUAUUUCAAAUAUUAGUUGUGGCCAGAACACAGAAAUGGGUAGUAUACUCUAUGUGAAUUCUUCUCUUUUAUUAUUUACUCCAGUGAAUCGUCUUUUUUUUUUUUUUGCUUAACUCUAGAUUGAGUUAUCUUAUCGGGUAAACCGAUAACCGAACCGAUAAUAGUCAAUAACCGAUUAACCGAUAACCGAUAAGCAAUAUCUUAUUGAUUCGAUUAUCGGUUUAUCAUAUUUAUAAACCAAUAACCGAUAUGCAAAACCGAUAAUAUUCACAGCCGAACCGAUCGAUGUCCACCCCUAAUUAUUCAAUAAUUAAUCAUAUGAAUUUCCUCAUCGUAUCUAAAAAAGACAAGAAAAGCAAACCACUAAUAAUUUGAUGAAAUAGUGGGUGACAGAAGCACAUAAGUUAUCUUAUUGUUCUAGAGAUAUAACUAUAAGGUAAGCAUCUAAAAUAGUGGGUGACAUAAGCACAUAAGUCACUCAUAUGUACAGGUAAGCAUCAAUCUAAAAUGAUUACAGUAUCACUUAUAUGUAGUACAAGUAAACUUGCAUAAAAAAUGGAGUUCAUAUUCUUUUCUUGCUUGACUAUAUAUAUGGACAGCAUUAAAUUUCUAUAGAUCUCAGAAAGCCAACACCAAUAUUUAUAGAAAAUCCCAAAUAAGGUUUGCUGGAUUGCAAUGGAUUUCCGAAGGUUUGAGACUCUCAUAGACAAAAUCCUUAUAUAUAAGUGGGUGAUUUUCACCGACAUGUGUUUUUUUUUUUUUUUUUGGCACUAUUUAAGUUUUGACCCGAUUUUUUGAAUUUGUGCACGAAUACCCCCAUUUUCAAGUUACGAAGGAUGCACUGCAUAUAUGGAAGUUAGAAGAACUGUGGCAGUUUUUUCGUAUAUUGAAAUUUCCAAAGUAGCAUCACGUUUAAGAUAAUCUUCAGAUGAUUGACUCAAAAAUAAAGUUAGCUAAGUGCUUACGUAUUCCUUUGUUUCAAUAAUAAAUGAUCUGAUAAAGAUGGAUUAAAGCACGAAUUAGUAAUUUAACUGUCACUUUGUGUCUAGUUAAUGCAUUCCGAGGUUUUCAUUUGCUUUUUGAAAAUUGUGGUCAAUGUAUAUAAUGUUUACUUUUUCAAAACGUAGCUGACAUAAGGGCUGACAUCAGACUAUCAGCAUUGAGCUCUCUUAUCUUUUCUCAUUUGACUAUAUGGACAUCAUUAAAUUUCCAUAUUAAAAUUUCCAGCUUCACUUUAGUGUUGCUAGAGUCGCAAUAGAUUUCAGUAAGGGCCUUUCAUCUAGUUUGGAGUUUUAAGGUAAAAAUAGCACGGGUUCGUCAGUUUUCGGAUUGGUCCUUCAAAAAUAGUUAGUGUUUGCAAAGUCAUUAAAAAAUAGUCUUUAUAUUGUUGCAACACGAAAAAUUCCAGCAUAAUAUAUUGGAGAUCGGUGCACUUGUGCAUGAACUUCCAGCAUAUUAUACUGGAACUCCAACACGCGGAAAAUUCCAGCAUAAUAUAGUGGAAAAUCGAGCACAUGUGUAUGAACUUUCAGCAUAUUAUGUUGGACCGGUAUAUUAUAAUGGAAUUCCAGUAUAUUAUUCUGGAGUAUUUUCUAGAUUUUGAACAAUAUUUUCGUUCAUAUUUAUCUUUACAUGAAAAAUGGCUAAAUUUCGAUUACUUUUACAAUUGUGGCUAUUUUUGAAUGACCGCUUAUAAAUCUGGCUAUUUUUGAAUUUCUCCUAGUUUUAAGAGCUCAUAAUUGACAAAGCCCAGUAAACUUCUAGUUGUCUUACGGUUAGGGAAGGUGAGAGUUUGUGAUACAGACUGGCCUGUCCAAGACCAGCACAAUUAAAUAUUUGAACUAGUAAAAAUUGCACGGGGCGCCCUAUUUGGUCGCCUCCAUUUAACCUAUACCCAUUUUUUUUAAAAAUUUUUAAUUUGUAUCACUUUUUAAACAACUUCAGCUCCCUUUCUCCUCCUACUUUUCCUCCUUCAUUUUCUUUUUUCUUCUUCUACAACGAUGUCUUCAACAUUGCUCUCUUUGAUUAAUGAAGCUAAAGCAAAUAUACUGAGGAAGUGAGUUUUCACCCAUUUACAUACGCAAAAACUUCAGCAUCCUUGGAACAUAUUUAAGAAGGCUAUAUUUAUAUGUUAUUAAUAACAUUGCAAGGUGCUAACUUUCUGCUGCGUGGUACAGAUGAGAUGACGACUUUAGACACAGUACAUAUAUGCUGCUAUUGACAGAGAUACAAAGAUGCUCACCCAUGAUCUAAGAGUUUUGAAAUUGGAUUUUGGAUGUAACUUCGAUUGCUCUGACUGAAAGGUUAUUACAAUGGUAACUUUGAACUCUAGGAAAAAUGGACUGCAAAGAUGAUUAUAUCAGCAAAUAUACCCAGUGAAGUUUUCCAGUUACAAAACAAAAACUUCAGCUCUAGAGCUGAACUUCAGGCCCGAUUACUAGAAUGCUGAAGUUUGUAUGAUUGUCUUUGCUACUUCAGCCUCGUAUGCUGAAGUUAUACAAAAAAAAUGGGUACACUUGUAAAUUCUUUUGUAAAACAGACACAAGUUAAAAUAUGACAUAAAAAAUGGGUAUAGAUAUAAAUGCCCUUUGAACUAUGCGGACUGUCCAAUUAAGAAAAAUUGGCCCACUAGAUAGCAGCUUCCUUCCCCUAAAUGAUUUGGGGGGAAAUGGGCUGCGUAGUCACUUUUUCUACCUGCUUUUAGAGUUUAUCCAUAUUUUAAAAAAG